AAAAACUUGCACAAGCUAGGGAGACACUGGGUAUUAUCCAGACCGAGUUGCAGCACUGUCCACUAUCACAACCUCUGUUUAAUGAGGAAAAAGCAGCAUUAGAAGAAAUUGAGAAAUGGAGUUGUGUGGAGGAACAAAUUAUGCGACAGAAAUCCAAGGCUUGAUGGAUUGUGGUGAUGCCAACACAAAGUAUUUCCAUGCCCAGUGGAAAAUCAGAACUUGACAGAAUAACAGAAAUCAAAGGCUUGCUGGAUUGAAUGUGGUGAUGCCAACAAAAAGUAUUUUCAUGGCCAGUGGAAGAUCAGAACUUUCCAGAAUAGCAUAUUUUCUAUAUACACUGAUACAGGCCUGAAGCUCACAGACCCCUUAUAUGUGGAACAGGAGUUUAUAACUAUUUUCCAAUCAUUGAUGGAGAUUGUGCUGGGGAGCUACCUUGUGUCAACACAGCUAUUAUUAAAGGAGGAAAUUGUCUAACUUUAUCACAACAAAAACCGCUGAUCUGGGAGGUUACUAUGGAAGAGAUUGCAGAAGCACUAAAAGAGAUGCCAAAGGAUAAAGCACCAGGAGUUGAUGGAUUCCCUGUGGAGUUCUAUACUAGAAACUGUGAGAUAGUAAAGGAUGAUAUAUUUGCUGCUACAAAGGAAUUCUUCUCCACAAGCAGAAUGCCUCACAUGAUCAAUACUACUUCUAUUGCACUUGUACCUAAAGUCAAAGCUUCCACAACUGUUAAAGAUUACAGGACCAUAGCUUGCUGCACUACUUUGUAUAAGAUCAUCUCCAAAGUCAUUACUAGGAGAAUGAAAACUGUGAUUGGUGAUUUGGUUGGGCAGGCUCAAUCAACUUUUAUUGAAGAGAGAAGCAUUGUUGAUAACAUUCUACUCAGCCAUGAAAUCUUCAAAGGUUAUUCUAGGAAAGAAAUAUCUCCCAGAUGUGUCUUGAAGGUGGAUCUGAAGACGGCUUAUGAUACUCUGGAAUGGAGGUUUCUUAAACAGGUACUCAUUGAUCUUGGGUUUCCUGCUAAAUUUUUUCACUGGAUAAUGUCAUGUGUCACAACUGUUUCAUACUCCAUAGUUCUCAAUGGUGGAUUAACAAAACCCUUCACUUCUAAGAGAGGUAUUAG
rnacentral:lncRNA from 1 species